UACAGAGGGUGCGAGCGUUAAUCGGAAUUACUGGGCGUAAAGGGCGCGUAGGUGGAUCAGAAAGUUGGGUGUGAAAUCCCUGGGCUUAACCUAGGAAUUGCAUUCAAAACUUCUAGUCUAGAGUACAGUAGAGGGAAGUGGAAUUUCCGGUGUAGCGGUGAAAUGCGUAGAGAUCGGAAGGAACACCAGUGGCGAAGGCGGCUUCCUGGACUGAUACUGACACUGAUGUGCGAAAGCGUGGGGAUCAAACAGG
rnacentral:rRNA from 1 species